GUGCCAGCAGCCGCGGUAAUACCGGCAGCCCGAGUGAUGGCCGAUCUUAUUGGGCCUAAAGCGUCCGUAGCUGGCCGGACAAGUCCGUUGGGAAAUCCACCCGCUUAACGGGUGGGCGUCCAGCGGAAACUGUCCGGCUUGGAGCCGGAAGAUCCGAGGGGUACGUCCGGGGUAGGAGUGAAAUCCCGUAAUCCUGGACGGACCGCCGGUGGCGAAAGCACCUCGGGAAGACGGACCCGACAGUGAGGGACGAAAGCUGGGAUCUCGAACCGGAUUAGAUACCCUGGUAGUCC
rnacentral:rRNA from 1 species